UGCUGACUCAGGCUGACAGGUGGAUCUUGUUAGUGCCAAUCUGGAUAGAAGAAUGGAGGAAAAAUAGGGGCUCUUGUAUCAGAGGGGUUUGUUGUAAGGAAGCAUGUAAGAAAAAAAACCACUACCACAACAUGGGGGAGCAAGUUCAAGGGUGAAUGAAGUUUGGUGAUUCCAGUAUUUAGGGAGCAACUCCAUUGAGAAUGAAAUCUUUGGUGUAAAUAAGAAAAGAAUCAGGUCCAUUAUUUUUACUUGAGAUGUGGAGAUUAGAAACGACAGGUGACAGGGAAGGAUAGAGAAGAAUCUUUGCAAACAGAUAUCCCUCCAACGAAGGAACGUUGUCUCAUAUUUUCUUUUAUGGGCUACCUGAACCUAUCGCCCUCAGAAAACAACUGCUGAUGUAAGGUGGCAUGAUGUGGAUGCUUUAAGGACCAGCUUGAUCAUCUAUCAAAUAAAGAUAUCACAAAAAGCCAUUUCCAUGGUAAAGGGUGAGACCUUUGUCAGCCGCCUCCUAGGGAUUUCUUGUUUCUGUGAAGACUGGUAGACUAAAUUCCAGGCAUGUUUAAAAGCUCUGACUGCACUACAGAACCAACUAAAACCUGGCACAUGAUAAAACAGAACUUCUAUUUUGGCGUCUGCACAAAUAGAGAAUUCUCCACAAACACAGAAGAGGAUUUGUGUCAGAGUGUCUGAACAAUUCUGGAGUGCCUUCAAGGAACAGAAAGUUGGCAGUUGUCGUGAGUUUAUCAACAUCUAUACUAGAGCUACCAAUAUUAAAAUGUGCUGAGCUGCACCAACGUUAGCAACAGUGGGGAGAAAUCUUUAGAAAACUUCCCAGAUGCAGGCAAAGUCUUAAAAUAAAAUCACCCAGGUUACGUGAGGACAGUAGCUGAGAAUGACAACCCACGAGCGUGUGUAACCACAUGCUUGCAUUGCAGCAUUUAGUGGUGUAAAUAAGAAACAGUGGGGGAAGAUACAUAGUUCUUGGUUUGGAAGUCUCUGUGUGCUUGCAACCUUGAUGCAAGUGGACAGAAUGACUCUAAAUGGACAAGAAACAUCCAGAAAUUGAGUGUGAUGGGUACUAAGUAUGGCCAUGAGCUGUUUGAAGCUACAUAGAUGAUUUUCAUUAAGGGCAAGCAGCCUGGCAGGACACAGAGUCACUCUGAGAAUGGAACCAACGGGGAAUCAGGGAGACUUUUAUAAAUAUGAGUGGGAGUCAGACUGACGAACUCAGCAGUGGAGUAGUGCAAGAACCAGAGGGAUCUGCUGUAAGGAUUGUGUUCCAGGGCCUUGCCACUUUGUUGUAUUCAGAUUAUAGGUCCCCUCACUCCACAGGAAAAGACAACUAGAAUUGUUGCAGCCUAUGCAAAUUGCAGACAGUCAUUAAAGAGACAGACAAAGUUUGAAGGAGACUCUGGGACUAUGACUUGUUUUCCAGUCUUUAAAGGAGCUUUAGUACCCUACAGGGGAGUUGGACAUCGUUCCACAGAGACUGGGAGGUUUUACCCUUCUCAGAGAAGAGACUAGCAUGUGCCUAAUUAUAUUUUGCAUUUGAGCUUGUGAUAGUAAUAGGUACCAAAACUUGAGGGAGAACUCCCCGAAAGUGUUGUCUUUCAAAGAGUUACCAAUAGUCACAAUUAUUUCAAGGGUUAUAAUUAAAAUCUGUAUUUAUGAAUUGAGAUUUAAUAAAUGUUUUCCCUUUGAGAUUGUCACUUUCCUCCUAUCAGAGAUUUAACUCUGUAUAAUUGUGUGUAUGUGUGACACACACAUGCACAGACACAAGUCUCGAAAAAAGACUAAAUGCUGGUCUUACCACAGCAGAAAGGCAAACUUAGGAACAGGAAGGAGAAAUACUGUACCUGCUGUUAGUAUGGCCUCCCCCCAAAACCAUUACACAUGCUCUGAAGGGAGUGGGCUUGUGGUCAGGAAGGAAUUAAGACUCCAUGAGACUUUCUCCCAUUCAUGCUACAGCUGACUUUGUCCCAGCAUGUUACAUACAUGCGAGGACAUAGAUAAUGAUGGAAGCUGCUGGCUGGCUGACUGAAGGUUUAAACAUAGCUCUCUGCUGGCGUUUUGUAAGUUUUGCUGCUUUUACAGUUGAUUCCUUCUCAGAGCACUAAUAGGAACAGUGUUCAUAUUAAAAAUAAAAUAGGCAAGACUAGCCUGAGUCUUUGCACUCAUUUUCUAUUCCAAUAAAGAAAUAUCUCACUCUCCGAAUGAAAUCCUGGCUCCACUGAAAACAAUGGCAAAAACUCUCAUUGAUUUCAGUGAGGCCAGGAUUUCACGCAUAGAGUCCAGUUCUGUCUUGACUGCCAGUAAAUAAGGACAUCUCUCAUUAGCACUGAGCUGAAUAUAAGAUUGUAUGUGAAUGAUCCUUAAUUAUCACUUGAUACAUUUCUUUCCCUGUAAUUAAAUCCAUCCUUUAAAUUGUUUGGGUUUUUUUUAAAUCCACUUAAAAAAAAUGUCUGAAACCAUCUACACUGUUAUUAAGUAUCUUGGAAAGUGUUCUCAGAUUCUGUUGAUGCUGUAACUCUAUCAUGAAACAACCAGACAUUGACAUUGGUACCGGACUCAAUGGAGGUAAUUCAGAACUUUAU